CCUACGGGAGGCAGCAGUGAGGAAUGUUGGUCAAUGGACGAGAGUCUGAACCAGCCAAGUAGCGUGAAGGAUGACUGCCCUAUGGGUUGUAAACUUCUUUUAUAUGGGAAUAAAAUGUUCCACGUGUGGGAUUUUGUAUGUACCAUAUGAAUAAGGAUCGGCUAACUCCGUGCCAGCAGCCGCGGUAAUACGGAGGAUCCGAGCGUUAUCCGGAUUUAUUGGGUUUAAAGGGAGCGUAGGUGGAUUGUUAAGUCAGUUGUGAAAGUUUGCGGCUCAACCGUAAAAUUGCAGUUGAAACUGGCAGUCUUGAGUACAGUAGAGGUGGGCGGAAUUCGUGGUGUAGCGGUGAAAUGCUUAGAUAUCACGAAGAACUCCGAUUGCGAAGGCAGUUCACUGGACUGCAACUGACACUGAGGCUCGAAAGUGUGGGUAUCAAACAGGAUUAGAUACCCCAGUAGUC
rnacentral:rRNA from 1 species